rnacentral:rRNA from 1 species
AGUGAACGCUGGCGGUAGGCCUAACACAUGCAAGUCGAACGGCAGCACAGUAAGAGCUUGCUCUUACGGGUGGCGAGUGGCGGACGGGUGAGGAAUACAUCGGAAUCUACUUUUUCGUGGGGGAUAACGUAGGGAAACUUACGCUAAUACCGCAUACGACCUACGGGUGAAAGCAGGGGAUCUUCGGACCUUGCGCGAUUGAAUGAGCCGAUGUCGGAUUAGCUAGUUGGCGGGGUAAAGGCCCACCAAGGCGACGAUCCGUAGCUGGUCUGAGAGGAUGGUCAGCCACACUGGAACUGAGACACGGUCCAGACUCCUACGGGAGGCAGCAGUGGGGAAUAUUGGACAAUGGGCGCAAGCCUGAUCCAGCCAUACCGCGUGGGUGAAGAAGGCCUUCGGGUUGUAAAGCCCUUUUGUUGGGAAAGAAAAGCAGCAGGUUAAUACCCCGCUAUUCUGACGGUACCCAAAGAAUAAGCACCGGCUAACUUCGUG